CUGGGAACUGCAUUCGAAACUGGCAGGCUUGAGUCUUGUAGAGGGGGGUAGAAUUCCAGGUGUAGCGGUGAAAUGCGUAGAGAUCUGGAGGAAUACCGGUGGCGAAGGCGGCCCCCUGGACAAAGACUGACGCUCAGGUGCGAAAGCGUGGGGAGCAAACAGGAUUAGAUACCCUGGUAGUCCACGCCGUAAACGAUGUCUACUUGGAGGUUGUGCCCUUGAGGCGUGGCUUCCGGAGCUAACGCGUUAAGUAGACCGCCUGGGGAGUACGGCCGCAAGGUUAAAACUCAAAUGAAUUGACGGGGGCCCGCACAAGCGGUGGAGCAUGUGGUUUAAUUCGAUGCAACGCGAAGAACCUUACCUGGUCUUGACAUCCACAGAACUUUCCAGAGAUGGAUUGGUGCCUUCGGGAACUGUGAGACAGGUGCUGCAUGGCUGUCGUCAGCUCGUGUUGUGAAAUGUUGGGUUAAGUCCCGCAACGAGCGCAAC
rnacentral:rRNA from 1 species